rnacentral:sRNA from 1 species
AUUAAUAUGUUGUUUAAGUAGAGAUUAAAACUUCAGUUUUUUAACAAUUAUCUCAUGGAUUCGUGGUAUAGAAAUUAUAAACUGUAAAAUAAAAAUAU